UUUAAUAGCCCACCCCUCGGAUAUGUGGGACCCACAUACGGUUUCGUGCGGAUGGCUGAUGAAUUCCAAUAUUUUUUCAUACCUUGCAUUUUAUGGGUCACUGAUCAAAUGGUCAAGAUCAUCUCAUUAGUGUGAUUUCUCACUAUGGUUGACAAUCGACGGUAGGAUCCACCUGAUGAACGGUUUAGAUCAUGGUCAGAUGUGCCAUGUGUCCAGUUAUGUGGGGCAAUAACAAAAGCAGUGGCAACCAUGCAAUUUUGGUGACAAUCAAGGGCAUUGUGUUGGUUAGUUGAGUAUUUAAGGAAUUUCAAACAUGGAGUUGUCGGUUUGCCAACCAUGAAAGUGAAUGAAAGGUUUUAAAAGGAAAUUCCUUGCGUGAUAGACUCCAAUCAAAGCCAUCAAUAGCUCUCAUUUUCUUUUAUUUUUGUUUUUAUUUAUUUAUAUUUUUGUCUCAUCUUUUGAUUGAAGAGCAGCCAUGUACCUACUUAUAAAUCAAUGAAAGGGGGAGAUUUUUUUAUGGGUUUUUGGAAGGUUGAGAUUUAGUGACAGAUUCUUCGACAAAGGCAUAUGAUCAAAAGAUUUUAUUCGACAGGUAUGCUUUUGUCUUCUUUUUUCAUUUUUUUUUCUUUCAAUUGAAUUCAAGGGUCUUAUUUUUUCUUUUGGGUUAUCUGGGUGAGUCUGUUCAUGAAUGAUUAGCAACAUGAAUUUCAUGUCCUUCUUUCUUUUUUUUCGAUUUUGGAGAGAUGUUUGGUUUGAAUUGAUGAGUGUUUCAUUGAUUUCAAUUCAUCUGUUUUUGUCAGUGGAGCAGAAACAUGAAAGAGAGGUGGUGAUUUUGUAUGGAAGAUUGAAGGCUGUGAGAAUUUGGAGAAAGUGGAGGGUUGUUUGAUCUCAUUCAACAGCACGACAAUCUAACAGUACCAAUGGGAUGCCUUUCUUCAAAGAUCGCGGCCCGGUCAAGGAGCUUUCGAGAAGAGCUGAGCCAUAGCUUGCAGAGGAGAAUCGAAGGCUUUCCCGCCUUAGAAGAUAUACUAAUCUCCAAGAACAGCGGAGAUCAAUUCCUCGCUCUUGUUUGCACUGCUAACACCGUAGCCAAGAAACUCCAAAAUGGAAAUCCCUCGACAGAGUUCAGCAUUGAAGUGGACCCGUCCGAGAAGCAUACGGAUAUCGAGAACAUCAACACCAAAGUACUGAUGUGUGACCUAGAAGAAGAAGAAGAAGAAGAACAACAACAACAACA